GUAGGGACCAAGCGUUGUUCGGAUUUACUGGGCGUAAAGGGCGCGUAGGCGGCGCGGUAAGUCACUUGUGAAAUCUCUGAGCUUAACUCAGAACGGCCAAGUGAUACUGCAGUGCUAGAGUGUGGAAGGGGCAAUCGGAAUUCUUGGUGUAGCGGUGAAAUGCGUAGAUAUCAAGAGGAACACCUGAGGUGAAGACGGGUUGCUGGGCCAACACUGACGCUGAUGCGCGAAAGCCAGGGGAGCAAACGGGAUUAGAUACCCCGGUAGUCCUGGCCCUAAACGAUGAAUACUUGGUGUCUGGAGUUUUAAUGCUCCGGGUGCCGUCGCUAACGUUUUUAGUAUUCCGCCUGGGGAGUACGCUCGCAAGAGUG
rnacentral:rRNA from 1 species